UACGAAGGGGGCUAGCGUUGCUCGGAAUCACUGGGCGUAAAGGGUGCGUAGGCGGUUGUGUGCGUCGGCGCUGAAAUCACAGGGCUUAACUCUGUGGCGCGUGCCGAUACGACACGACUCGAGGCUCUGAGAGGGUGGCGGAACUCCUGGUGUAGUGGUGAAAUGCGUAGAGAUCAGGAAGAACACCCGUGGCGCAAGCGGCCACCUGGCAGAGACCUGACGCUGAGGCACGAAAGCGUGGGGAGCGAACCGG
rnacentral:rRNA from 1 species